CCUACGGGAGGCAGCAGUGGGGAAUAUUGGACAAUGGGGGCAACCCUGAUCCAGCCAUGCCGCGUGAGUGAAGAAGGCCUUCGGGUUGUAAAGCUCUUUCGGCGGGGACGAUGAUGACGGUACCCGCAUAAGAAGCCCCGGCUAACUUCGUGCCAGCAGCCGCGGUAAUACGAAGGGGGCUAGCGUUGUUCGGAAUUACUGGGCGUAAAGCGCGCGUAGGCGGCGACCUUUGUCAGAGGUGAAAUCCCGAGGCUCAACUUCGGAAUUGCCUUUGAAACGGGGUUUGCUAGAGUCCGAGAGAGGAUGGCGGAAUUCCUGGUGUAGAGGUGAAAUUCGUAGAUAUUAGGAAGAACACCGGUGGCGAAGGCGGCCAUCUGGCUCGGUACUGACGCUCAGGCGCGAAAGCGUGGGGAUCAAACAGGAUUAGAUACCCUGGUAGUCCACGCCGUAAACGAUGAGUGCUAGUUGUUGGGAAGUUUACUUCUCAGUGACGCAGCUAACGCGUUAAGCACUCCGCCUGGGGAGUACGGUCGCAAGNUAAACUCAAGGAAUUGACGG
rnacentral:rRNA from 1 species